rnacentral:lncRNA from 1 species
AACAAAUCCAUCACCCAACUCGUAACUCAGCAAUCAGUGGAGCUUUUCCCUUCUUCAAUUCUUUUCAACAACAAGCUUAUCAUUUUUCUUCUUUCACGGAAGGUUUCUGCUUCUGUAUUUUUACAGAAAGCCUGCAUUGAUCUCAUCUAUGAUAAUCCACACAGACAACAACCCACAAAAUCCUUGAGAAAAGGUUUGAUCUUACACCCAUCUAUUCAUGACUUAUAUACUCUUUUCACUACUUCACAAAGAAGACAAUCACGGAUGGCACAUACAUAUUUCAUAUACAGAAUCAACACUAACAAGGAUUUCACUUUUCACUCAUAAGAACAAAACAUGUAUUGAAAUUUGUAGAUUUAUUUACACACCUGCAAAUCUUGUCUUAUAAUUGAGAUCAUUAAAGAGAUGGAAUAAAAAGAAGAAGCUUUUUGUGUAUAUGUUGGUGUGUGUACUGCUGUGUGCGUGAGUCUUAGAGGGGCUGUGUCGUCGUCCGAACUGAGGGAGAACGGAGGAGGGAGAGGGGAUUGGCGACGGCGGCGGUGGCCUGAUGCUCCUGCUGCCCGUCGAUCCAGAGAGGGUGAGAGUGGCGGUGGCGGGUAGCUACUGCUGCUGCUCUCCGGCUGAAACAGAGGGAGUGGGGCGACGAUGUCAGAGAGAAUGAGGGAGGCGGCGAUGGCGGUGGUCCGGCUGACCGCUGUUUUCGGCUGAAGCAGAGGGGGCGGUUCCGGCGGUUACGUCGCCGGAAAUCGAAGGAAAGAGAACCUAGGGUUGCUGAUUUGGGAAAUUUUUGUGAGGGAAGAGAUAAGGGGGACGAGCGAGAGAGCGAAAGUCGGGAGAAGGAAGGAAAGUCAGAGGGAGCGGCGGCGGCGGCACUCGCCGGCCGUCUGUCGACGGGAAAUUGAGAGAAAAGGGGGAGAGUUUCAUUAGCUACUUCAUCUGGUUCAGUUUUGAGAAUGAAAGAACGGGGUUUGAGUGAUUUUGAUGAGGGGAAGAAGGUGGUGGUGGCAGCUGGUGGCGAUUUCGCCGGGAAUGGAAGGCGGCGGCGUCGACAGGAGAGAAGAGGAAAAGAGAGAGAGACCGAAGGGGAGAGUGAGAGAGUGUCUGUGUGUGUACGUUGAGAAAAAGGAGAAGAAAGGAGAGAUUGAAGAAGGUGAGUUGGGCUCUAGCUUUGGGCCUUUAAUUUUAUUAAGUGGGCUGCAUUUUUUAUAACUUGGGCUUCAUGCAUAUAUUUCUAUUGGGCUGCAUGUUUAUUUGUUUGGUUAUAUGUUUUAAUUAUAAGUUAAAGUCUUACAAAUAUUUGUAAGCAAAAUAUUUUUAAGUUGAUUUUAUGCUCAAGAUGAGUUUUUAAGUAAAAGCCGAGCAAGGAUAUUAUUGAAAUCCUUAGCCAAGAAAAAUGAUUUUCAAGUUUUAUGUUGAAUUUUUGAAAAUCCGGGUGUUGCGAAUCUAGUUAGAAAUGAUGACAAGUCAUGAAGGUUAAGCUUGAUUUUAGGACUAUGAGUUUAAGUUGAGAACUUAUCUUGUAGGUCCUACAGAAGAGGAUAUUUAGGCUCUUGUUCAGCUGAGUUAUUUGUUUGGAUUUUCUCCAAAUCAGGUGAGGCUUUAUUUACGAAAUGUAUGUUUGAGCUAAUAAGCUCGGUUUUAUGUAAAGUUAAAGAUGAUGGUUCAUGCUUAAAAUGUUUUUGCUCUCUAUUGGUUACUGCUUCUACCAGAACAUUGUUGGCUCCGCCAACCAGAACAUUGUUAGCUCUGCUAACCAGAAUUGUGUACGUACACCAGAACCUGUUGUCUCGAGAGAUCGGUGACAACCAGUUGUAGAUAGCAUGCCCAAUAGAUGGCCAGGAAAAUAUGAGCUCAGAUUAUUUUAGUAUGCAUGGAAUGACUCGUCUUUAAAAACAUUCUGUGUUAUACUGUUUAAAGGCAUGAAUUAUCUUUUUCAGUAAAUGAUUUUUAAAAUGUUUUUAAAUGGCUCAACCCACUGAGUACACUAGUACUCAGCCCUGCAAUUGUUUUCAAAACCUUUUGCAGAUUGAGCAGCUGGUGGUGACGUGCGAGGCUGAGGAAGGGUUGUUGCUGUGGAUUCUGAAGAAAUACUGCGUUUACUUCUCCUAAAAUAAAUUCACUUAGUGAAUAUUAUCUGAUGCCUAAUUAUAUUAAUACUUUUAUUCAUAUUUCUAAUAUGAAUUUCAUUCUCCAUCACUUUUCUAGCGAUUGUUUUUCGCAUCUAUUAUAUGCUUAGUAUGAGACGUUGUUUUGGUCUCAGACCUUCGAACUUCCGAUCCUGAUAGGGAGAAUAAUUAUGUUAUAAUGUCGUACUUGUUUUCAUUUAAAUACGGCAUAAUGUCCAACCCUCAGGGCACAUUACCUAUUUUAUUCAAGUAAAGCUUAGUAGUCCUGUCACAUAGCCCAUUUCUUAUUCUCCCGGGAAAUCAG